rnacentral:rRNA from 1 species
GACGAACGCUGGCGGCGUGCCUAACACAUGCAAGUCGAGGGGCAUCAGGAAGAAAGCUUGCUUUCUUUGCUGGCGACCGGCGCACGGGUGAGUAACACGUAUCCAACCUGCCCUUUACUCGGGGAUAGCCUUUCGAAAGAAAGAUUAAUACCCGAUAGCAUAAUGAUUCCGCAUGGUUUCAUUAUUAAAGGAUUCCGGUAAAGGAUGGGGAUGCGUUCCAUUAGGUUGUUGGUGAGGUAACGGCCCACCAAGCCUUCGAUGGAUAGGGGUUCUGAGAGGAAGGUCCCCCCACAUUGGAACUGAGACACGGUCCAA